GGGGCCUGCGAUCGAUGUCACUAGAAGCGUCAUCUCCUUGAAGACCAGCGUUCUCGUGAUUAUGGAGGCCUCUCUGUCCUUCCUGUGACUGGAGCAAUGCUGACCUCGGUGUCUUGGACCCAUUCCGACUCAGGUAACCAGGCUCUGCCUCCAUCCCCCCCCCCCCCCCCCCCCCCGGAGAUUGCACUGAAUAAAUGAAAUACCAAAGCUAUAUUUAAAUGCAAAUGCCAAAUUGAUUGUUGCUUCAUCAAUUGGGACCCUCCCCCUCUUCCUCCCAAUCUUCUCAAUGAUUAAUUUAUGCAGCUGAUCAGACUGACAAUGUGGUCAAUCCAAUUUAGGCAUUAAGAUAAUGAAAACAUUCAAUCACAUCUUUAUUUAAAAUUUUGGAGUGUCACAGAUACACGGAGCAACAGGAACACUGCUGGGCGUCUUCAUACAGAAACUCGCUUCUGCCAUAGUUCCUGUAAAUCAGUCUCUUUCCCAUAAUGCCAUGUUUUACUUGAAUUAUAUUAAUCUUUCCAAUGUAUCUUUUGACUGAAUGUAGUAAGUAUUGCGGAGUACCCGUUACGUGUUCUUGGGGCAGAUGGGAAUAAAAAAGAAAAAAAGAAAAAAUUGAAGGCACGGAGCUCGCCUCCCAGAGUCACGGCUUAGCCAAAGAUCCGUGACUCACUCGUAAGAAAAUGGCAGAUGGUGGUGCUCAGUUUAGGGCCAGUGCCGCGUACUAAUUAAUGGUUCCCUCUUUGGUUGAGGGAAUUGAGAGACUUUGAGGAUUGGGAUUGAAAUAAUUAGGGAAGAAUUCAUGGAAGAGGGAGGGCCU